rnacentral:rRNA from 1 species
UACGUAGGGGGCGAGCGUUGUCCGGAGUUACUGGGCGUAAAGCGCGCGCAGGCGGCCCGCGAGGUGUCACGUGAAAGCCCCGGGCUCAACCCGGGAGGGUCGUGGCAAACCGGCGGGCUUGAGGCCGGUAGAGGUGGGUGGAACUCCUGGUGGAGUGGUGAAAUGCGUAGAGAUCAGGAAGAACACCCGUGGCGAAGGCGGCCCACUGGGCCGGUACUGACGCUGAGGCGCGAAGGCGUGGGGAGCGAACGGG